GCGGGCGUGGUGGAAUGGCAGACACGAUGGUCUUAGGAGCCAUUGCUUAGGCGUGCAGGUUCAAGUCCUGUCGCCCGCACCA
rnacentral:tRNA from 1 species